UGGCGGGCUAGAUUAAGUGAGUAACUGCAUUUCCGGAUGUUGUCAGUCGAUUGAAGGGGGGGGUUGGCAUAAAACUUUAGCCUAAGCACUCAAAAUGAAGCAGGCGGUGGAAUUCGAGGAGUGUCUGAAAGACUCUCCGCGUUUCAGAUAUCAGAUUGAUCAAAAUGAACAGGAUAUCAAUGUUUUGGAAGGUGCUCUGGAAAAGCUGAUCAAGCUUUGUAAUGGAAUGGUGGAGACAGG